GGUUUUUUUUUUUUUUUUGACAAGACCUUGUAGCAAAUAUCACUAAGAAAUAUCAUUUGUUGACAAAAGCUUACACUGACCCGUCGAUAUAUACAGUGUAUACCGACGUAAAUUUUCCGUCACUAAAUUUUAAUAAUAUAGUUACCAAUGCAUUAAAAAGCCAUUGUUAUAGAUUAUACUAUACUUAUUUUGACGGAUAUUAAAGCACAUUAUACCAUAGUAUUAUCCAGUUAAUGCAUGGAGAAAAAAACAUGGUUAAUGGCGGGAGUUUUUUUUCUUUAAUAAAUAAUUUAGUUACUAUAUAUGUACUAGAUCUAUUCAUGGGUCAAGUUACUUAUCCAAAGUACAAAAGUUUACUCGAAAUUUAAGAUAGUUUGAACAAAAAUAGUAGGCCUGGAAAUGGGCUUGGUAGAAAAAGAUCCGUUUAAAAUAUGAAUAAAGCUUAAGCUUGAAUAUUUUUGGCCUAGCCCGACCUUUUUUUUUUAAGUUUAUAAUAUUUUAUGAUAUGUAAUUUAUAACACAUAAAAAUUAAAUUUUUAGUAGUAUAAUGUAAACAACAAAAAAUGUUAAAUGACUAUAUAUAAAUUUAAUAAAUAAAAAUAUAUAUAAUUAUUAAAUCUUAGAUUAAAAAUAAUGUAAAUAUUUUUUUAAAAAAUAGGAUAAACUACACUAGUAGACAACCAACUAAUCAAAUUUAUCAAAUAGUGAUAGUUUUUAAAAUUGGCAUAAUAACAAUUUUAACCCUUAAUAUUAUAUAUUGCGUUAGUUUAAUUUUGAUUUAAAAAAAUCUAACCCUCCAUAGUAAUUGAACUAUUAAAAUUUUCUAUUAAAAUUACUCACAAAUUUUAAAAGUUUUCAUUUUAUUUAUUUAAAAACAAAAAAAAAAUAUUUUUAAAAAUUUGAAAAACUUGAUAGUAAUGAAACCUCACUUACACCGAACCUUUUUCAAUUUGAUUUUGAUUAUCUAAAUUUUUUUUCAUAGUUAUGUUAUAAAUGAGGUAAUUCAUAUUCCUACUUAAUACCCACAUUUACUUUUUUUUUUCUUUUUAAGCUUUAACAGCUUUGUUAAUAUAUGUUCAACUCCCCACAUAUUCCUAGCUACGGUGGAAAUUAAUUUGAAUAAUCAAAGGCUAACAUUGUGAUUUAAAAAUUAACAUGUGAAAGUGAAGGCCCUUUAAACCAGACAUAGCUGGUUUGUCAGCUAAAUCUGAUUUCUAAUUUGCUUACCCUUUAAUGUAUAGGAUUCCUCAAAGCUCAACUGUAUCAUAAUAUUUGUAUAUCGGAUUUCAGGCUAUAGCCUAUAGGAUAGGUAUCCAACGUGGAAUUCAGCAACUUCUACAAUAUACAUUCCGUUUGUAUUACUGUAAAGCAAAAUCAAUUUUAUAUACACAUGUUAUUUAAUACGAAUAUCAUUCGAUGCCCUUUCAUAUUUUUGAGUCAACUGUAAAGGUUGAGUGAUUAUUUGAUGUAAAACUUCAAAUAUAUUGAAAAAAACAAUAUUUUACUUUUAGACGAGGAAAAUCUCAUAUUGAUUUGAAAUUUUAUAGGUAAUGUCAACUAAAAAGAUUAACAAGAGAAAGAAGUGGUGGUUUAGAUGGUGAUUCAUUUAUGUGGAGAUUUAUUGGUCAUAACUUUAGUAUUACGAUAAAAAGGUCUAAGCAAAAUAAAAUAUGAGAUGAAAAGAGGUAUCAUCGGAGCUUGGUUGAAGGGAGAGAAAACAAAAGAGAAUUCUUUUUUGCCUGUUGGUGUAUGUAAAGGGAUGGAACCCAUAACAAGAGCGAAAUACUGGCGUUGUUUUUGGUGAGUGAUCGUAUGUUAAUAUACAGUCGAGACGCUCCCUUCCGUGAACCCUAUACGGUUCUCAAUGAAGUGAAAGACAAAACCCUCUUUCAAAGGACAAUACUUUCUGUUAUUGAGAGAUCGAAUUGAAGUCUCCAAAUACAACACUUUGAAAAUUUUUCCUGGAGGAGCUGAUCCCCACAACAUGUACUUAAAACAACUACCAUUUAUAUUGCUAAAUUCAAUUAUCUAUCCAUCUAUUAUAAACAUUAAUCUUACUUAAAAAUUAUAAAUAUAUGUAAAAUUAAUAUGAUUUUAUACCUAAAGUAAUUUUAUAGUAGUGUAAUAUAUGGAAACCAUAUCUGGAACAACGCAUGCACAUGACAUUAAUCAUUGUAAGACCCGAAUUUUGCCCGGCCCAUAGGAAAACCAAAAUCAAACACAAAAAUUAAACAGUCCAUCAAAUAGGUUCGGUUUACAAGCCCAAAAUUUUACAAUGGCCCGAUAGGCCCAAAUUUUUAGGGUUUCAGAAACCCUAAGUUCCCCUUUUGCACAGCAGCCCCACGCCGCAAUCCCCACUUCGGCACUCCACGCACGAUCCCCGUGCGCCUCGCUCCAUGUUUGCGCCCAUAAUCCAUGCCCCUCGUUCUCCACAACUUCACGGCCUGCAAGUUGGACAAGGAAGCAGUAGAAACUGCUUGUAUUUUGGCUAUAAAGCCUUUGAUUUUUCAUUUUAAAGGGGUUUUUCUUUUUUUUUGAAAUACAAAAGAUACCAAAAAAGAGAGUAAAAAGCAGCCAAGAAAAUAUUUCUAAGGUGGUUAUUUUAUCAUUUUCUUUUCCCGUUCUUUUGCUUGAUUUUUAUUUCCAUUCAAAUCCGAAAAUAUGAAAUAAAAGGGGAAAGGGUGAGUACCUCUCGAUUCGCUUCGCAAGAGGGGUUCUCCGGCCCUCUGUUGGUCGUCACAGAGGCAAAUGAAGGCUUGGUGUUGGCCUUGUUUGCGGCUGGAAGAAAGAGGACAGUGGGGAGAAGAAAGAGUUUAGGGUUUUUUAGAAAAAAAGAAAUCAAAGUUAAAGUUUUUUUAGCAAAAAAAAAAAAAAGACUUUAAAACUAGCUUUUGUUUUUAAUAAUAAAAUAAAUGGUUGUUAAAAGCAGUAGCAUUUUGGAAAGGCCCGCGUGUUGACCCAAUUCACAGGCUGGGUCCACGUACUUUCAUUUUAAAGGGGAAAUUUUCGCUUCCAGUCCUUCUCAUUCGCGCCAGUUUUGAAUUAACUCCUAUUUGCACCUUAUUUAUUUUAUUAAAAUUUCCCUAUAAUUUACGCGUUGAUUGUGAUCUGGUCCACGCCCAGGUGCUGAGUUUUGGAGAUUUGGGUCAUUUUCGUUUUUGGUCCUUGAGAAUUUGUGCGCAUUGAAUUGUGGUCCCUAGUUUUAAUUUGACGUUUUAUUUAUUCAUUAAUUAUCUCUUUAAGUUUAGUUUAUUUCAAUUGAGUUUUUUUUUUACAUGUAUAAUUCAUUAUUUCUUAAAUUUAUUUGGUACUCAAUUUUUAUAAAUUUAUUUUAAUAUACUUUUUAGGUUACCUAAAUAAUUUUCUACUCUACUUUUAUUUGUUUAACUAUUGUAAAAUU
rnacentral:lncRNA from 1 species